UACAGAGGUCUCAACCGUUGUUCGGAUUCAUUGGGCGUAAAGGGUGCGUAGGCGGUCGGGCAAGUCGGAUGUGAAAUCUCAGGGCUCAACUGGGAGGGUGGUCGCGAGACGGCAGGGCUUGAGGCUCGGUGAGGGGCGUGGAAUUCCGGGUGGAGCGGUGAAAUGCGUAGAGAUCCGGAGGAACACCAACGGCGUAGGCAGCGCCCUAGACGAGACCUGACGCUCAGGCACGAAAGCGCGGGGAGCGAACAGG
rnacentral:rRNA from 1 species